rnacentral:lncRNA from 1 species
CCUCUACUCCCACCAUAAUUUAGAACCAAAACCCACCCUUCUAUCCUCUAUAAAUACCUAUCAGAAUCCUCAAGGCAAAUCCCAUGCCAAAUCAACAACCUUCCCUUCUUCUUCUUCUUCUUCUUCUUCUUCUUCUUCUUCUUACUUGUUAUCAUCUCAAAAUUUACCUCAACAAAUUCAACUCAAAAAUCAGUCUCAAUAUU